rnacentral:tRNA from 1 species
GGUAAAAUGGCUGAGAUUAAGCAAUAAAUUGUAAGUUUAUGAACGAAAGUAAUUUCUUUUACCA